rnacentral:rRNA from 1 species
UACGGAGGGUGCAAGCGUUAUCCGGAUUCACUGGGUUUAAAGGGUGUGUAGGCGGGUAUUUAAGUCAGUGGUGAAAUCUCUGAGCUCAACUCAGAAACUGCCAUUGAUACUAUUUAUCUUGAAUAUCGUUGAGGUUGGCGGAAUAUAUCAUGUAGCGGUGAAAUGCAUAGAUAUGACAUAGAACACCAAUUGCGAAGGCAGCUCACUACACGGUCAUUGACUCUGAGGCACGAAAGCGUGGGGAUCAAACAGG